GACGAACGCUGGCGGCGUGCUUAACACAUGCAAGUCGAACGGAAAGGCCCUGCUUUUGUGGGGUGCUCGAGUGGCGAACGGGUGAGUAACACGUGAGUAACCUGCCCUUGACUUUGGGAUAACUUCAGGAAACUGGGGCUAAUACCGGAUAGGAGCUCCUGCUGCAUGGUGGGGGUUGGAAAGUUUCGGCGGUUGGGAAUGGACUCGCGGCUUAUCAGCUUGUUGGUGGGGUAGUGGCUUACCAAGGCUUUGACGGGUAGCCGGCCUGAGAGGGUGACCGGCCACAUUGGGACUGAGAUACGGCCCAGACUCCUACGGGAGGCAGCAGUGGGGAAUAUUGCACAAUGGGCGGAGGCCUGAUGCAGCAACGCCGCGUGCGGGAUGACGGCCUUCGGGUUGUAAACCGCUUUCGCCUGUGACGAAGCGUGAGUGACGGUAAUGGGUAAAGAAGCACCGGCUAACUACGUG
rnacentral:rRNA from 1 species